AGCAUUGUUUAAUUCUCUCCCCCACUUGCUAAUGGGUGGAAGAGGCUACUCAUCGAUGCUUAGAUUAAAUUUGAAGUUUGUCAGGCUUCUUUGAAUUCUUCAUGAUAGAGGAGUUUGGAAAAUACUUCUACAUGUAUUGUUAUUACAGAACCUCAAUAAUUCCUAAUUUACCUAUUUCCAAUUAGGUUAAGUUACUACUUACGAUUUAUGUUCUUAGCAGGUCCAUCCUAUGAAGCUGUUGAUGAAGACCUGAG
rnacentral:misc_RNA from 1 species